GUAAGUGUUUGAUUAACUUCCUUUGCUUUUGUUUUGUACAAAGGAAAAGCAGAACCUAAUCCAAAUAAAAAUAAACAAGCUGUUAAAAGGACUGUGUCCUACCCAGAUCCUCCUCCAAAAUAUAACCAUUCAAAAUCCAAUCCAGUUGAAGAUCAACACAAACCAAAUGAAGAUGUUGCAGAUUCUACAAACAAUAAAAAAGAAGAUCAAGUUUUGUGUCAAACACACUUGGAUGAGGCGUGCCUGACUUUGUCUACCCUACAUUAAGUUGUGAUGGCACACUUCAUGACAGUAAACAUCAGUAUCAAGAUGGUGUGAUUGAUCCAUACCCUAGAUUAAGCUGUGACACUGAUGCUGUGGUCACAUAAUGAACAGCCAUCUUACAGACAACCGAAAGAGGCAUAGUAUUGUUUUCUUGUGUAUUGUCAUAAAGAGGAUUUUUUGUAAUCAUACAGUUAUGGUGCUUUUCAUUCAUUAAUGUGUCCUUUCUUACCUUAAAUAACUUAUCAUUCUUU